GGAGUCUAGCAUGUGCGCGAGUCAUUGGGACUAGCGAAACCUAAAGGCGAAAUGAAAGUGAAAGUCGGCCUCGCGCCGACCUAGGGAGGAUGGGUCGCGUCACGGCGCGACCCCGCACUCCCGGGGCGUCUCGUUCUCAUUGCGAGAAGAGGCGCACCAAGAGCGUACACGCUGGGACCCGAAAGAUGGUGAACUAUGCCUGGUCAGGACGAAGUCAGGGGAAACCCUGAUGGAGGUCCGAAGCGAUUCUGACGUGCAAAUCGAUCGUCGGAACUGGGUAUAGGGGCGAAAGACUAAUCGAACCAUCUAGUAGCUGGUUCCCUCCGAAGUUUCCCUCAGGAUAGCUGGCGCUCGCUUUUGCGAGUCUCAUCUGGUAAAGCGAAUGAUUAGAGGCAUUGGGGUCGAAACGGCCUCAACCUAUUCUCAAACUUUAAAUGGGUGAGAUCUCCGGCUUGCUUAAAUUGUGAAGCCGCGAGAUCGGAUCAGAGUGCCAAGUGGGCCAUUUUUGGUAAGCAGAACUGGCGCUGUGGGAUGAACCAAACGCAGAGUUAAAGCUCCAAAAUCAACGCUUAUGGGAUACCAUGAAAGGCGUUGGUAACUUAAGACAGCAGGACGGUGGCCAUGGAA
rnacentral:rRNA from 3 species